rnacentral:rRNA from 1 species
UACGUAGGGGGCAAGCGUUGUCCGGAUUUAUUGGGCGUAAAGAGCGCGUAGGCGGAAGGUUAAGCGUGGCCUGAAAGCCCCCGGCUCAACCGGGGAAGGCGGCUGCGAACUGGCCUUCUUGAGGGCGUUAGGGGAGAGCGGAAUUCCUGGUGUAGCGGUGAAAUGCGUAGAUAUCAGGAGGAACACCGAUGGCGAAGGCAGCUCUCUGGGACGACCCUGACGCUGAGGCGCGAAAGCGUGGGGAGCGAACGGG